GGGCGUAUAGCUCAGCGGUAGAGCGUCUCUCUUACACAGAGAAGGUCCUCCGUUCGAAUCGGAGUGCGCCUA
rnacentral:tRNA from 1 species